AUAACUGACGAAGACUACUCCUGUCUGAUU
rnacentral:piRNA from 1 species